rnacentral:rRNA from 1 species
AGAACGAACGCUGGCGGCAGGCUUAACACAUGCAAGUCGAACGCGUGUAGCAAUACACGAGUGGCGCACGGGUGAGUAACGCGUGGAUAUCUGCCUUUUGGUUCGGAAUAACCCCGGGAAACUGGGGCUAAUACCGGAUGGUUCCUACGGGAUAAAGAUUUAUCGCCAAAAGAUGAGUCCGCGUACGAUUAGCUAGUUGGUGAGGUAAUGGCUCACCAAGGCGACGAUCGUUAGCUGGUCUGAGAGGACGAUCAGCCACACUGGGACUGAGACACGGCCCAGACUCCUACGGGAGGCAGCAGUGGGGAAUAUUGGACAAUGGGGGCAACCCUGAUCCAGCCAUGCCGCGUGAGUGAUGAAGGCCUUCGGGUUGUAAAGCUCUUUUGGCGGGGACGAUGAUGACGGUACCCGCAGAAUAAGCCCCGGCUAACUUCGUGCCAGCAGCCGC